UACGUAGGGUGCGAGCGUUGUCCGGAAUCACUGGGCGUAAAGAGCGCGCAGGCGGUCGAUCAAGUCGAGUGUGAAAGCCCCCGGCUCAACUGGGGAGGGUCAUUCGAUACUGAUCGACUCGAAGGCAGGAGAGGGUAGUGGAAUUCCCGGUGUAGUGGUGAAAUGCGUAGAUAUCGGGAGGAACACCAGUGGCGAAGGCGACUACCUGGCCUGUUCUUGACGCUGAGGCGCGAAAGCUAGGGGAGCAAACGGG
rnacentral:rRNA from 1 species